CUUGCUAAUACCGUCUCUGCUAAGCUGGAGGGCAUCUUCUUUUAAGUCGGUCUGCGAGGGCUUCUCUCUCCCUCCCUCUCUUUCUCUUUGAAUCAGGUGACAGGAUGCUCCAUCACUUGGCGUCAAACUCGAUGACAGAUGGAGAUAACAGGAAGGUCAGUGACAGAGGGGGCUCCACGGUCACCCCGCCAUUUGUACCCGUUAAUGACCCGUGAUGUUAAGUAGUGCCAAGGGAUGAUCCGACAGUCACGCUCCGUAUCAUCUGAGGACGGGGAACUCGCCCGAGCUCGACAGAUAACUUUUUUCUAUCUCGUCCGGGUUGUUGUCUCUCCUUUCAGAUGACUGCUGGGAGGAUUGUUCCUCCAUUUAUCACUUUGAUGGCACCACGAGCCCCGAUGACGGCACCGAGGGUCAGCAGAUUCCUCCGAACUGCUGUGAGAUUAUCCCUGCAAAGACUCUUUUCAUCAUAUUCCUG